AGGCUCCACAGCCACAUGAGGAAGUGUGUGAGAUGAACCAAAGUCGUUCUACGACGGAAGGAGGCCAACAACAACCCAAUACUACACCAGAAUCACUUUUAUCAAAAUAUUACAUUUUGUGUUGGGGGAAUGGCUCGGGCGACACACUAUAAAAUUAGUCUCAAGAAACAGAAGUCAACUUCAUUCUCCAUGAAUCCCUAUCUCCAAAUGGAGGGUCAAAAGUGAAAUAACAAUCUUGGAUGAACUGCAAACUAGUCUCUCGAUAAAGUUUUAUACAUGUAUAACAUUUAUUGUAAUUAAUGUCUUGAAGCCAAAAUGUAUUGUUUGUAAAUUUUUUCAAAUAUAUUCUCACAAAGUUCUGGAAGCUGGUCAGUGCAUAUUGAGUAUUUAUGGGCGUUUGUGGUAAAGCGAUUUUUUUCCGAACCAAUUAGGACUAGCAUUCGAAUCCUGCUGGACUGGAAUGAAUGUCAUGUUUUUCUAGAAACUUAUCCCAACUCUACUGGAUACUUGACUUGAGAUGGGGAAAAUAAUGGCGGUUAGGGUGUGGGUGGCGGUGGGAAUUUAGGUUGGAAUAAUUAAAGGAGUUGUUCCCACUUUUCUCUUGACAUCUUCAACCCGGAAUUUUAAAAACCAGCAACCUUUGUCCCAUUAUGUCACGUCACGAUACGUCACAUGGUCACAGGACAUUUCAAAACUGAGGUCAAAAGUUCAGCUACGAAAUGACUCGACGAAGAAAAUGAAGAAGUCCAGACUAAUUCCGUUUUAUUUUACAGUAUUUUAUUUUAUAAUUACAUAAUAUACAGCAGCUUUUAUUCAUAAUGACAAGUCGCAUGAUAUUUACAUACAAUUAUCUUAUCUUAUCUUAAAUGUUGAUUGCCGUUUACAGUUACACUGUACAACAAACACACUCCAUGUUUUAGCUUUACAUUUCAUUCAUACAUAACUAAAGUCAUAUUAGAACAUAGACUUCUAUUGCACACCGUUCAUCAGUUCAAUCAUACAGACAUUAGAGGGAAAAAAAUCACUACAAUAUGAAAGUUUUUAUAAAUUUUUCGAAGAUUACAUUUAAAUAUCAACAAGUAAAAAAGUUCAUUUUGUUAUUUUCUAUUUAAGAAUGUGUGAGAGUAAAACAAUUUCACUUAAAAACACUUGACCUUCUUAGCAUUGUACUAGACAUUUUGAAAGAUGUUAAUGACAUAAGCGAUUCGAUAUACACUUGAAAGAGGAGACAUCAAAGUACAGGCAAUUGCUAAUACAACGUUUUAUUUGGGCUGUACAUUUGUCUCACAAGUUUAUUUACUUUUGGUAAUUGAAAUAUUGCAUUAACUACUUUCUAAACUCAUUCUGAUGAAACAAAAUACUGAUAAGCUAGAUACCAAUGUUUUACAUCAGAACGAUAAAUAAGAUACAAAAAAAAAUCUUUUUCUAAUAUGAUUUAAUCUUACACUUAAUAUUGGAUGUAUGGUGGUAGAGUGGUAAAGCGCUUUUUCCCGAACAGAGGGGUCUCGGAUUCGACCCUCGCUGUAGACUGGGAUUUCAAAUU
rnacentral:sRNA from 1 species